GCUGACUUUAUUUGUGAAAAGUAAACACGGUUGGUUGUUGUGCUGGCCACGUGACAUCAUGCUUGUUAACAUC